AGACCGGUACUUGUUGCCUUCAGGGCCCUUCCUCAUGAAAUCUGCUAAAAGCGGCGUCCUGUGAACGUGCCGUAAAUAUUGAUUUUUGGAAUUUGCUGGAUUUGGUGAUGGCGAGCCCAGCCUGUGUGACUGGACAGUUAUGGAAGCAGUGUGGCCUACCAUGGAACCUCUCCACGGAAAAUGUCUGACCAGCUUGAUUCAAUCAUUCAGACAAGAGGCCCCAGUGUUUUCUAAAUGUGAUGAGGUUAUGGGCUCAAGCUCUGCUCACUGACCAGCCAGUCAACACAGUCAGCAUUGACCUCAGCGAAGACAAAUGGG